rnacentral:rRNA from 1 species
CCUACGGGAGGCAGCAGUGAGGAAUAUUGGUCAAUGGACGAGAGUCUGAACCAGCCAAGUAGCGUGAAGGAUGACUGCCCUAUGGGUUGUAAACUUCUUUUAUAUGGGAAUAAAACGUUCCACGUGUGGGAUUUUGUAUGUACCAUAUGAAUAAGGAUCGGCUAACUCCGUGCCCGCAGCCGCGGUAAUACGGAGGAUCCGAGCGUUAUCCGGAUUUAUUGGGGUUAAAGGGAGCGUAGGUGGAUUGUUAAGGCAGUUGUGAAAGUUUGCGGCUCAACCGUAAAAUUGCAGUUGAAACUGGCAGUCUUGAGUACAGUAGAGGUGGGCGGAAUUCGUGGUGUAGCGGUGAAAUGCUUAGAUAUCACGAAGAACUCCGAUUGCGAAGGCAGCCUACUAAACUGCCACUGACAUUGAUGCUCGAAAGUGUGGGUAUCAAACAGGAUUAGAUACCCCUGUAGUC